CCAAGGGCAGGGACUGUGUGGCACUGCUCACUGCUGUAUCUCCAAGGCCCUAAGGCAUAGUGCCUGGAGCCUCAAUCCAUGAUGGGGAGGGGACAAAGGAAUGGCUAAGCCUGUUGGAGCAGGUGUGAUAGUUUGAGUGAAAGUGACGGGGUCUACAGUGGCAGCAGGAGACAAGAGACACAGCAGGAGAGAAGAAUUGACAGAACCCAGGAUUCAUGAGAGGGGAACACGGGGAGAGAGAAGAAAGAGUUGGCGAUGACUCAGAGUGUGCCUUCCUCGCUAGAUUGGAAGCUCCUUGAAGGCAGGAAUCUCACUGGUUUUAUUGACCAUGUGUACCUGACAGGCUUUCUGGCACAUAGUAGGUGCUCCAGAAAGAUUUGUUGAAUGAAUAAGUGAUGAAUGAAUGAAUUUCUUGAACACCAUAAUAAAAAAUUUGACUCUUAGCCUCCAGGAGACAGGGAGCCAUGGAAAGUUCUAAAGGAAGGCAGUGUCAGGAUGCAGCUCGUGUUUUCGAAAGCUCACCCUGGUGGCUAUAUGGAAGGUGGACUGGGGAGGGAAGGUGGGAGACUAGAGGAGGGGGAUUUGAGGAGCCACUGGGGGAGACAAAGACGAAGCACCUGGGGGUGGGCCUGGGAGCCCCCCUGCCUGUGAGGGCCCUGAGCCCCCUCCCAGUCUUUCCCCAUCCCCCUGCCAGGCCUGUUGUCUCUGAGCCCAGCGGCGGGCAGGCGGUGGGAAGAGCAGGGCUGGCAAAGCUGACACUCACUAAUCAUGGCCCUCACCCCGGAGCUGCACUAACUGUCUGGUCUCCAUGGAGACACAGCAACCUCCGGCCACUUGUUAAUGGCAGCUCAACAAGGCUGCGGCAACAGGGACUGCCCGGCCAGCGUGCCCAGCUCCACACUACCCGUCCCAGCCUGGGUCUCUGCAGAAGACCCUAGGGGUGCCAGAGUUGGGGGACAUGACCAGAGGUCUGGUGGCUGGAAGGCUCCCCCACCCCUCCGUGGCUCCUCCUCCCCUGGCACUGCCAAGCAGCGAGAGGGCAGAGACAGCCUCUGCCCAGGCUGACUCCUCUGCAGGGCUGCUGGGAAGUUGAGCUCAUGCAGGUCACCCAGGCAAGGCCAAAGGGCUGGAGGGGGGUGGAGAGGAGUGGCGCAGGGACCUGCCCGCAGCCCACACACUAGCAGAGUGGAGGAGGGCAUGCUGUGCCUGCCCUGACAACCCUCUGCUCUGCUAGCCUGAGGCAGGGGCCCAAUUGGAAACCAUCUGUCCAGAACCUCUUCUCUGUGCACUGUCACUACAUCUGAAAUGCCACCAUUAGCAAUGCACUCCUUUGGGAGGCAGCGUGGCAUAGCACAAAAACACUGGCUUUGCAGUCAAGCAGGCUUGGGUACAAGGCCUGCCUGGCUCUGUUUCUCUACCUCUGAGCAUUGAUUUCCCCAUCUGUAAAAUGGGGGUAAUCGCUGCACAUACAGGCAAACGCUUCCUCUUCCUGGAAACCUGAGCUCAAUACCUGUGAUGCCUCGCCCAGAGCCUUUACUUCACCCCCACAGAGCAGCUGGGCCUCCUCCGCAGUCCCCGGGCUGAUCCCCCAGCAUGCUCCACCCGCCUGUGACUGUCCCACAUUUGUCCUUCCCACAGACUGAGCCCUGUGGGGUUGGGCACAGUGAGCCUCAGGAGAGGGUGGCGGAAGAAACAAAGGAAGGGCGUGGGGGCCUCCCUCUGUCUUCUGUCUUUGCGCCCUCCUUCGGCACAGGUUGAAGACCUUUUUUCCCUUCUCUCCUCUAGACCUUUGUUCCUACAUCUGUGUGUCUAUCUGUCCAGCCUGCAAACUCUCCCCAAGCCCCUGCCUUUUGUGGGGCCUCAGAGAGGACACAGAUGCCACCCCAACCUAAAGGUGAGACAGGGACCCAAUUCCGGGGCUCUGGAUACCUGAAGCACAGCUGUGGCUGGCUGGGGACUUUGGCACAGCUGUCUCCUCCCUCGGUCAUGCUUUAGGAACACUCCAAGCUGAAGGGGCCCUUGGAAAUCAUCUCCUCUGAUCCACGACUGCCAGCCAGAUGAAGAAACUGAGGCCUGACUGCCCAAGAUCCCACAGCAGUUCCGUUCUUGAGCUGACAAUGUACCAAUUAUGUGGGCCUGCUGGGGAGGCAGCUUUUGGCUCUCGUGGCCCUGCUGACAGCUGUGCUCCCAGUGGCAGCUGGAAUGCUGGUGGGAGGCCUGUCUGGCCUUUGCACCCUGACUCCCCAGGGCAGAGCCAGGUGGCUUUAGUGGGGCCCAGGGCUGGGAGCUAGGGUGGGCAGACAACCCUGAAGGGUGAGUCAGGGCAUGGGACCCUCCUUCGGCACAGGCUGGAGGAGAGGGGAGGCAGCAGUGAUUCUGGAGACUAAAGCAGGAGCCCUGAGGUCUUGUUCCAGCUCUGUUACUCUCUUGCUGGGUAACCUCAGGUGGACCGUUUGACCUCUCUGAACCUUAGUUUUCUUAUUUAUGAAAUGGUGCUAAUUUUGCAGAUUGAAACCCUUUGUCAAGGGUGGUAGACAUACAGAGGUGAAGAAUUUUUUCCAGAGGGGAAGGGACUAGCCGGAGGCCACAGAGCACUGAAUUGGAUACAAGGAUUUGGAGCUGGAGGAAAUGUCCAGUCCAUUCACUUGCUGAAGGAGGAAGUGGAACCAGAGAAGGGGAGCAAGUGCCCAAGGUCACCACAUGAGGCUUGGGCCAGUGUGGGCCUAGAGCCAGGCUGUGCGCGAGGUCCCCUGCCCAGCUGCCUUGCUUGCUCAUCCAGCCCCUUUGGUUUUGUCUCCCCCAGUGAGUGGGCGCAGAACGGGCCCAGCUUCCUUCCUGCCGCCCUGCCCGCCGUCUGCCACGUUGGCAGCCACCCUCAGCCUUCUCGCCCCUGCUGCUGCUGCUGCUGCUGAUGCGGCAUCAGCCGAGACCAACCCGCCGAGAGUUUGCCCAGAGCAGUCAGGGCUGCUGGAGCCGGGGCUGGGCUGGCUGGCUGACUCUGCCAGACAGGAGGGAGCGAGCCAGCCGGUGGAGGGAGGGAACAAGGGCUGAGCCAGCCCCCAGCCUUCCCAGCCCUUCCCCACCCUCACCCGUCAAGGGAGGGAGGCAGAAAGCUUGGGUUGGGGGCCAGGGGGCUGCAGUGUCUGAGAGCGAGUUUCCAAGAGCUGGGUCUGUCCGUGGGAGUGUGCACACACAUACAUGUGUGCAUGGAAGAGCAUGGUGGGGUGAUUUGUGAGUCUGUGUUUGCCUCAGUGUGCACAAGUGAUGAUGCUUUGUGUGUGGUUCUGUGCCAACACAGGGGGCCCCUGUGUGUCUGUGUAAGCACAAAGGAAAGCUGUAUACCCCGAGUUUGACCUCGGGCCUAUGUACAGAGACACUUGGGAUCUAGCAGUGUAUGCACAUGGCAGCGGAUGGGCACCACGUCAGUGCCAAUAAAUCCGUGUAUGCACAAGAGAGUCGGUAUGUGUCCCUGAGUUUGUGUAUGUCACGUCUGGUAUGCUGGGAGCCCCUGUGAUUUUAUGGUGUACAAGAGGAUAACAGCAUAACUGUGGGUGUGGGCUUGUCUGUGUGUGCACAAGGGGCAGUGUGUGUGCAGAAGGGAACGCUGCAGGUGGCUGGGAUUUUGUGCGUGUCUCAUGUGUGCCCAGGAAGGCACUGUUCUGGUAGUGUGGGCUAGUCCAAAUGUCCAGAGGGUGGGAAUGGGCGCCUCUGUGCCCAACAGACUUUGUCUGUGUCGUUGUUGAGAGUGACUCAGGGGAACACUGUGUGACUGUGUGUGCUUGGCUGUGUGUACAGGGAACAGGCGGCAGAGGCAUUGUGUUUCUGUGGUUGCAUUUACACAGGGCGGUGGCGGCGGCGGCGCUGGUGAUGGUGACGGUGCUGUGCUACAGGUUUGCACUUGUUCCUCUGUGUGGCAAGGCCCUGCGUGUGACUGCGCUUGUGUGUGUCUGUGAGCACGGUGUGCUGGAAACUGCCUGCUUGGGUCUGUGGCAGGCUGAAUGGAGGAGGGCGGAGGGAGUCCAUGGCUGUGUUUGUACUUGUCUGUGAGCCCGGGGUCAGAUGCGCUCCAUGUGCUGCCUCCUGUGUGCACAGGUGGCCGCUGUGUCCAACCGUGUCUUUGUGUGUUUUGGGUCGCCUGAAUGUGCACAGGCGGAGGACAUGGAGGGGGGGAUUUGAGUGCGUGCCUGUGCAGGCCCCUUUAACGUGGCAAGUCUAAGAAAUGUCGGCCUUCUUGGCAGCAAAUCUGGGCUUGGUUCCACUGGGGGUGUCUGCAGAGAGGGGCUCUUAGAAGGGACGUGCUUGAGCGAGAGAGACAGGAAGGGAAGGGGGGGCCAGCCCCAUCUUGGGGUUUCCAGGAGGGAAAGCCAGACAUUGGAACUUGUCAACGCUACCUCCUUCCCUGCCCCCACCUUCCACUGCUGCCUCCCCUCCUGGCGCCUGAAGGCUGCUGGCAGACAGACAGACAGACAGACAGUGCACACAUAGACUGGCUCACAGGCACAGAGCCCAAACCUGAUCCCCUAAAUGCACCAGGCUGGAUACUGAGGUCCAGAGAGGGCAAAGGAAGUGGCUGAGUCUUGGAGGAGCACAUGUGUUUAUGCAUGUUGUGGGCAGGGGGUGCUAUUGGCCUCUGGUGCUUCAACCUACACUAGAGUCCAGGCCUGAGGUGGAGAAGAGGCUGUAGAGAGCCCCUGAGGAGGGGCUUUUAUGGUUCCAACCAGACCCUCAAGGCUCCUAGCCCCUCUCCCUGUUUAUACAACUGCUGCAGGGUCCUUGAGAGUCCAGUUGCCUCAAAAAGCACCUACUGAAACUCCCUGUAUGUACAGAGGCAGAAGUGGCCCAGAGAGGAGCAGCAACUGAUACAGGGUCACACAGCAGAACCAAGACUGGAAGCCGGGGCUCCUUCUAGCUGUGCGUGUUGGCCCACAGGCUACUUAGUCCUAUCUUUCCCUUGGUCCAUUUAGCUCUUUCUCCCUCUCAGGUCUUCAGGAUAUAACAAUGACCUCUUUUUAUUUAAAACAUUUUUAUUUUUUUAUUUUAUUUUUUUUUGAAACAGAGUCUUGCUCUGUUGCCAGGCACCAGGCUGGAGUGCAGUGGUGUGAUCUUGGCUCACUGCAACCUCUGCCUCCCGGGUUCAAGCAAUUCUCCUGCCUCAGCCUCCUGAGUAUCUGGGACUACAGGCGCACGCCACCAUGCCCAGCUAAUUUUUGUAUUUUAGUGGAGGCGGGCUUUCAUUGCGUUGGCCAGGAUGGUCUCCAUCUCUUGACCUCGUGAUCCACCCGCCUCGGCCUCCCAAGUGCAGGGAUUACAGGCGUGAGCCACCCAGCCCGGCCGACAAUGACCUCGUUUUUGUUGUUGUUGUUGCCCAAGUGAUAUGUCUGUCUGCCUGUUAGCCCAUCUGUUUUUCACAGGGCCUCAAUACCCUCUAGCAGAAACUGGAAGAGAACACAGCUUGGUUUUUGGCCAAGGGCUAUUGGAGAGGUAAAGGUGGGAUGGGGAGACAGAGAAACAGAAGGAAAGGAAUUUGAGAAGAGAGGAAGGAGGAGAGAAGAGCAAGGGGAGGGUUGGUGGCAGAGCUGAGAGGCACAGACUCCCCUUUACCUCCACCUCCAGCCUGGGCACAGGGGUGAGCUCUGAGCUCAGAGUCCUGCCUCUUGGGGCCUUGGGAUAGGGACCCCAGGGCUCCUCUCAGGUCUGGGAUCAACCCCUCCGAGGGCAGCUACAUUGGAGUCCCUGGGGACAGUAUUCUGGGUGCAAGUGUCAGGUGCAGUGACCGAACUGCCCUCAUGGGAAAAGGAGGGAGGGGAUUGCAGGUGCAGAUGGGGUAUGAACCUGGGCAUGCGUUGACUUAGGGUGUGUGCUCUCUUUGGAGCAGGGUUGUUGAGAAUGUGCGUGACGUUGUGAGUAUCCUAGGACUCUGUAUACCUAUGGACAUGACCAUGUGGCAGACAAGCUGGGACUCCAGGUGGGGGGAGGGGAAGGACUGCAGGAAUGUGUGUCUGUGACGGCAGGAGUGGUUGUGUAUGUGUGGAGGGAUUUGUGUGAACCGGCACUUACAUGUUCUUGUGGAGGCUGUAGCCUGUGUAUGUAGGCAGGUGAACAGUAUAGCUAUGGACAAUUGUGUGUGUGUUGCGUGUGUCUGGAUGAAUGCAUAUCAUGUGAUUGAACUGCAUGAGUAUUUACAUGUUAAAUGUAUAACUGCAUAUAUGUGUAGAUGCGUACACAUUUGUGAUUGUCUUGAGGCUUAUGUGUGGAGUUAUCUGAGUCUUGCCUGUAGAUUGUGUGUGUAGUCGUGUGUAUUUGUGAAGCAGUGAAUGUUAGGGAGCUGUUCCCAUAUAUGGUUGUGUAUUUUGGGGGAUACUAUAUGUGGGGUUCUUUUUCGCUUGCCUGUUUUUGUUUUUGUUUUUUUGAGACCGAGUCUUGCUCUGUCGCCCAGGCUGGAGUGCAGUGCCGCAAUCUCGGCUCACUGCAACCUCCGCCUCCCGGGUUCAAGUGGUUCUCCUGCCUCAACCUCCCGAGUAGCCGGGACUACUGGCACGUGCCACCACGUCCAGCUAAUUUUUGUAUUUUUAGUAGAGACUGAGUUUCACCAUGUUGGUUGGGAUGGUCUCGAUCUCUUGACCUUGUGGUCCGCCCACCUCCACCUCCCACCAUGCCCAGCCACUGUGUAGUUCUUUUUGAGAAGGAGUUUCACUCUCGUUUCCCAGACUGGAGUGCAGUGGCAGGAUCCCGGCUUACUGCAACCUCCAUCUCCCAAGUUCAAGAGAUUCUCGUGCCUCAGCCUCCCAAGUAGCUGGGAUUACAGAUGUGUGCCACCAUGCCUGGCUAAUUUUUGUAUUUUUAGUAGAGACGGGGUUUUUCCAUGUUGGCCAGGCUGGUCUUGAACUCCUGGCCUCAAGUGAUCUGCCCACCUCGACCUCCCAAAAUGCUAGGAUUACAAGCCCGAGCCACCAUGCCUGGCCUAUAUGUGUGGUUCUUGAGGCUAUAGUUUAUUUUGUGUUUAUUGCCAAACUUCCCCUGUCAGAAUGCGAAAUCUGUGAGGACUGAGAUUUUUUAUCUGUUUUGCUCACUGUAUUUCUAGUAUCCAGAAUAAGGCCCAACACUUAGUAGGCACUUGAUAUAUAUUUCUCCAAUGAAUAAUGAAUGAGAGUGGUCAUGCUUGUCAGGGUGUGCGAAAUGUAUUAUGUGUAUGAAUCAUGUGUGUGUCUGGGUGUGUGGAUGGAUACAUUUUUUGUGCCCAGGUGUGUGAGGUUUCUAGCGCAAGUGGCCUAUGAGCCAAGUGUGUGCACGGGGCACGUGUGUCUAGGCGUGUGACUGUGUACCUGAAGCUGAGCCACGUCUGUGAGCAUUGCAUACAACUGUGUGCAUGCACAGUUGUGUGUGCUUGUGCAGGGGGUAGGAAGGCACUGUUGGCUUCUCCCAGCCUUCAGCACUCACUCAGCUUCACCCCAGGUCGCCUGCUGCGAAAUGUCAGUGGCAGAGAAGCUAAAAAUAUCCGCUCUCCUCCUUCUGCUCACUGCUUGGGCUGAUGGGACUGUGGGGCCCCAGUCGGCCCCUUGGGCCCUGGGGGGAGGAGGAACUGCUGGAUGAGGGGGUGGGGUAUGGGGGAAGGAAGAGAGGCCCUCCUCAGUACACACCCUUCCCCCUUUCCUCUUGGGCUCCAAAGCCAGGCUCCAGGCUCACCUCUUUCAGGAAUCCCUCAAGAACCCCCCCAGGAGCUGUGUGUGUCUGUGUGUCUGUCUGCCUGGCAAAGAGAUAUGGACUCCAUCAGACUGGAGCUCCAUGGGGGAGGUCUGUGCCUCUUCUGGCACAAGGGACAGAGCUCUGUCUCCUUCAGACCAGGGGCUCUCAGGGAAAAGGUGAUGUCUCCUCCCUAAGGCUGAGGGUUAGGGAGGCAGUCCAGGCCAGACACGGCUUCACUGGGCUCUGGUUCUGGGGCCACUAGGGCCCUCUGACCCCAGGGCACAUCUGUUCCCAUGAAGAGCUAGUGAGUAGGGAGGAGUCUCAGCUCUGCCCACACCACACCCCAGGCUGGCACAUAUUUGUGCUGUGGGUACUUGUGCGGGUGCAGGUGGGGCAUGUCAGGGCCCGUAGUCCUCUGGGGACCUGUGCCUCUCCACAUGCCUGCAUCAGUGGUGUCAGUGACUGCCUGCCUUGGCCAUUGUGGUCAAUCAGUGCAAGUUGGGUCCAUUGUGUGUUUCUCUGUGUUCUUGUGUGUGCACAUGGAUGACUCUGUAUGUGGGUUUCUGCCUUUCAUUGUGCAGGCCUGCAGACACUAGCAGGGAUGGAUGUGUUCGUGCGGGAGUUGCCGGUGUCACCAUGUGGGGUUUCUGUGUGUCAGUGUGCUCGAGUGUGUGUCUCUGUCAGAUGGUCAGUGCCUGUUUGUCCUGUGAAUGGAGGUGUCUGCAGGUGCAUCUGUGUGUCAGUGUUUCGAUGAUGUUUCUGCAUGUUUGUGUGUCUGUCUGCCUGGAUGUCAUUAUGUCUGCAGCAACUCCGUGCCUGUGUGGCAUGCUCAGGUCAGUUUGAUUUUUCAGGUUUGUAGGGCCAUGUGUCCCUCUGUGUGUUGGUGCUUUCCAUGUGGGUUGGAAUCUGCCCCUACUUUUCCUAGUCUCCCACCAUUUCUGUGUGGAAGGCCUCAGGCAUUGUGUGUGUGUGUGUGUGUGUGUGUGUGUGUACAGCAACUUUUCCCAGCCCCAAAGCCUGCAGCCCUGAGACCUGCUCUCCCACUCUUUCUCUGUUGGACUUGAGGUGGGAGCUGAAGCAAAGAGGGCAGGCAGGCAGGGAGCCCAUGACAGCCGGGGGCUGGGGCCAGGCUGCCACGAGGGCCCUGCCUCAGCUUUCCUCCAAGCAAGCGCUAAGCCAGAGCCUCAGUUACAUGUAAACACCAGCUGUGUCAAGAAGGCGCAGCUUCUUCUAGGUCAACAGACAGCUGUGGGGUUGCUAAGCAACGGCCUGGCUCCCCCCUCUAUUAGGCCCCCUCCCACUGCCUCUACCUGCAAAACCCUCUGCUGGCUCCCCCCACGCCAGGAAGGCCUGCCCCACAGAGCCAAUUAACACAGCGGGACUGAGGGGGUAGGGGGUCAGGGCAGUUCUGGGACUGGAAUCAAGGUAUGAGGAGGUGUUAACCCUUCAGGUGCCACCACCCCCUCCACCUAGUCCUGGGUCACUUCACACACCCAUAACUUCACCAGUCACUUUAGAGCCUGGAGUGAUGAAGAGCAGGUCCUGAGGGAUAGGGACCCUCAGAGCGGCUACAACAGGGACUGGAGAGAUGCUGGAGGCAGAUGGCACAGGGCCUGGUCAAGGCCUCUUCCCUCCCCAGCCAAGCCGGGGGAAGGAAGGGUUAAAUUCCCCCUUUAUUUCCCCUAUCCCGCCCCCUCUCAGGACAGCCACCCUUUUCCAGGGCAGCACCUGCGCUCCCAGCUGCCGUGCCCGCUCGGUGCCUGAGCCCAGGCCAGGCAGCCCCAGGCAGCCCCCCGCAGCGUUCGGGCCCUUGCCCUCGCCUUCCCCGGCCCCAGGGCCGCCCUUUGCCGGGCCUGGGACGUCUCUUCGGGUAGAGGGGAGGCAAGGGCCCCCAGGCCUCCAGCAAGGGGCUCAGGCACUCCGAGUGGGGUGCGUGGGCCGGGGUGCCAGCCCCCGGGGUGACUUGGCUGGAGCCGGAGGCAGGAGUUGGAGGAGGGAACCCGGCCGGCAGGGGGGCAGCUGUGGGGGCAGCGCCCAUGGCCACCCCAUUAGUAUGCGGCCGCGCUCCGCGCGCCAUGGCAACAGCUCCCGCCGCGCCGCGCCAGCCUGGCAGCCCCGGGCGCAGCGCGCACCUCUCCUCCCACAGGUGGCGGCGCGCACGGGCGCGCACGGGCACGCACGCACACUCGGCCCGGGCGCCUAAGGGAGAGCCUGGGGCGCCAGGUGCGCUCGGGCGUCCUGCCGCCAGCGCAGCCGCCCAUGGGCGUGUCCCCAGGUGCUCCAGAGUGAGGCCCGAGGGAGGAGUGUGUCCCCAAGACGUUUUGCCCUUGCCUGGGUGUGCUCCUCUGUGGGUCCCUCGGCGGGCCUGCUGUGCCUUUAUGUUGGUCUCCGAUUGUCCUGGAGGGUCUGUGUCUGUGCUCAUCCGCCUCAGCCUCCAGUGCAUGGCCCCGAGUGUGACUGCCACUGUUAACUGAACAUACCUGUGCCUCUGUAUCUGUGUCUGUAUGCGCCUGAGGGUGUGUGUGAAUGUGCGUGUCCAUGGUUCUGGGCUUUCCCCUGGAGGAACGCCCCGGGUGUGUCUGCAACUCUGGAUGUCCGCGUGUGCCUGGAUGAGCAUCUGUGUGUGCGCCUUUGUAUCUACGCAAACGUCUGUGUGUUGAGGCCCGUGGAUAUCUGUGUCUGGCAUCCAUGUGUGUUUUGGGGUGUGGUUGUGUGUGGACUUUUGUCCCUGUGAGUGCCCUCAGGAGCCCCUCUCUCCAGGCACGUCACUAUGUGUUCCUGUGAGCGCCCGAGUCUCCAGGAGUGUGGCUGUGUGUCCAGGGGCUGCUGGCUCUUUGCCCUCCUCGGCUUCACUCCCUGCUGCCUGAGUGAGCCGACACCUGCUCCCUGAGCACUGGGCCCCCUCCCCCCACCUGGCAAGGACAGGGAAGGACGCGGAGGCAGAGGCAGACAUGGAGGCAGAGACAGAGACAUGGAGGGAGACACAGCCAAGCAGGCUGGAGAGGUGGAGAUCCAGUCAUGUGAUCAGCCUCAAAGCCCAAGACGGAGAAGAGUCACAGAGAUGCCAAGAUCCGGACAUUAGAGAGAGGGAGACUCAGAGGCACACAGAGACCCAGAGCUCCGCGUCCGGAACUGCAGAAACAGAAGAGAUCAAGGAUGCAGCUCCCCAGCCUCCCUUCCUUUCUCCCUCCCUCCCACUCUAGACUUUGCAGCCCCAGCUGUGCCUCCCCCACAUACCCAAAGCAGAGUUCUCCUGGCCCUGGGACUGGAAACCAGCCUCCUCCUCACAGCUGGCUGUGUGUGUGUGGACACGUGUAUGUGCAUGUGCGCAUCUGCAUGACGCACUGAGCUAGUGCCUACCUAGUACACAGCCCUCCCCUUAAACACCCCUUUCCCCCCCUCCACCGUCCACAUUUCACAGACCCAAAUCAUGCACACCUUUACACACAUGCUACACAGCCAGCCACACUCAUUCAAGCCCAGUAACAUGCUCGGGGCCUCCCUCUCUUAAUCCCAUCCACACAGGGCCAGAAGACCCAGCAUACAAAGCCAUACCAGAAGUCUCUCCCCGGCCUAAGCUCUGCUGGUCAGAUAUCCACCCCUUAUAUUUCCCCCUCAGCAACCCUUGAGGGGCUCGAACCCCGCCACUCACAGGGAAAAACACAUGAUUAAAUUUGUCAAUUCCAGCAGACUAGACACUUAAAGGCAGGGUCCCUGCCUGUCCUGCUCACUUUUGAGUCCCCAAGUGCCUUCAACGGUGCCUGGUAAUUUAUAGAUGUUUAAGAAAUGUUUGAAUGGGCCGGGGAUGGUGGCCCACGCCUAUAGUCCCAGCACUUUGGGAGGCUGAGGUGGGUGGAUCACCAGAGGUCAGGAGUUUGAGACUAGCCUGUCCAACAUGGUGAAACCCUGUCUCUAAAAACAAAAACAAACAACAAAAAAGCAAUAGUUGAAUGAAUAUGUUCAUACCAGGUUUCUCAGAGAACCCACAGUAAUUGACAGCCAUUCAGUGAAAAACGUGAAUGGAUAGCACAGUGCACAUACAAGAAAAUAUCGUAUGCACACCUAGGACAGCACACUAAAUACAGGUGUGUGUGUGACACUCAGCUCAACAGCUUAGAGGUUCUCCAGUGGGCUGCGCAUUGGAACCAUGCAAGAAGCUUUCAAAAAUCCCCAUGCCCAGGCCCCACCCCAGACCCAUAAAAUCGGAAUAUUUUGGGGUAAGACCUGGACAUCAGCAUUUUGAAGCUCUCCAGGCAAUUCCUUUCUAGGAUCUAGAACCCCUAGAACCCCUAUGUAGAUGAAGAGACUAAAAAAUGUUGACACAGGGGUUAUUGCCAGGGAUGGGAGUAGAGAGGAUUUUCACCUUUUUUUUUGGGAUGGAGUCUAGCUCUGUCACCCAGGCUGGAGUGCAGUGGUGCAAUCUCGGCUCACUCUAACUUCUGCCUCCUGGGUUCAAGCGAUUCUGCUACCUCAGCCUCUUGUGUAGCUGGGAUUAAAAGUGCAAACCACCACACCCAGUUAAUUUUUGUAUGUUUAGUAGACACUGGGUUUCACUGUGUUGGCCAGGCUGGUCUUGAACUCCUGAUCUCAUGAUCUGCCCACCUCAGCCUCCCAAAGUGCUGGGAUUACAAGCAAGAGCCGCUGCGCCUGGCCCACCUUUUUUUUUCUGUUGAGAUCGAUCUGUCACGUAGGCUGGAGUGCAGUGGUGAGAUCUCGGCCCACUGCAACCUGUGCCUCUCGGGUCAAAUUACUCUCCUGCCUCAGCCUCCCGAGGAGCUGAAACCACAGGUGUGCACCACCGCACCCAAGGAUUUUCACUUUUUUUUUUUUUGAGACAGUUUCACUCUUGUCUCCCAGGCUGGAGUGCAAUGGGGCGAUCUCCGCUCACUGCAACCUCUGACUCCCAGGUUCAAGCAAUUCUCCUGCCUCAGCCUCCCAAGUAGCUGGGAUUACAGGCACCUGCCACCUUGUGCCCAGCUAAUUUUUGUAUUUUCAGUAGAGACUGAGUUUCGUCAUGUUGGCCAGGCUGGUCUCAAACCCCUGACCUCAGGUGAUCCACCCACCUCAGCCUCCCAAAGUGCUGGGAUUACAGGUAUGAGUCACUGCAUCUGGCCAGGGUUUUCACUUUUUUUGUGUGAGACGGAGUUUCGCUCGUUACCCAGGCUGGAGUGCAAUGGCACGAUCUCAGCUCACUGCAACCUCUGCCUCCUGGGUUCAGGCAAUUCUCCUGCCUCAGCCUCCUGAGUAGCUGGGAUUACAGGCACGCGCCACCAUGCCCAGCUAAUUUUUUGUAUUUUUAGUAGAGACGGGGUUUCACCAUGUUGACCAGGAUGGUCUCGAUCUCUUGACCUCGUGAUCCACCCGCCUCGGCCUCCCAAAGUGCUGGGAUUACAGGCUUGAGCCACCGCACCCAGCCUCGGGUUUUCACUUUUAACUGUACAGGGAAGCACAGACUUCUGAGCCAGGCUGCUUGGUCUGAACUCUGGUGUCACCACCUAAGCAAGGUCUAGUUUGAACAUACUCACUGAGUGGUCUUCAUAAAUUAGCUCUCUGCACUUGAGUCUCCUGUCUGUAAAAUGGGGAUAGUCAUUACAAUGAAGCCUCAUAGGAUUCUGGUGGAACCAAAUUCAUUAAUAUAUAUGCAAAGCAUUUAGAACAGCUGACAUAUAGUAAGUGCCGUGUGUGUGUGUGUGUGUGUGUGUGUGUGUAUAUGGCUGUUAUGUAUCAUUAAAUUUUUUAAAUUAUAGAAUAGAUUAAUUUUUUUAUUUUUAUUUUUUGAGAUGGAAUUUCGCUCUUGUUACCCAGGCUGGAGUGCAAUGGCACGAUCUCGGCUCACCACAACCUCCGUCUCCUGGGUUCAGGCAAUUCUCCUGCCUCAGCCUCCCGAGUAGCUGGGAUUACAGGCAUGUGCCACCAUGCCCAGCUAAUUUUUUGUAUUUUUAGUAGAGACGGGGUUUCACCAUGUUGACCAGGAUGGUCUCGAUCUCUUGACCUUGUGAUCCACCUACCUCGGCCUCCCAAAGUGCUGGGAUUACAGGCGUGAGCCACCGUGCCCGGCUCAAUUUUUGGAUUUUAUAAGCAGAUUCUUCCCCCCUUAAAACUGUUGUGAAAAAGCAAGGGAGGCCAGGCGUGGUGGGUGGCUCACACCUAUAAACCCAGCACUUUGGGAGGCCGAGGCAGGUGGAUCACCUGAGGUUGGGAGCUCGAGACCAGCCUGACCAACAUGGAGAAACCCCUUCUCUACUAAAAAUACAAAAUUAGCCACAUGUGUUGGUGCAUGCCUGUAAUCCCAGCCACUUGGGAGGCUGAGGUAGGAGAAUCGCUUCAACCUGGGAGGCAGAGGUUGCAGUGUGCAGUGAUUGUAUCAUUGCACUCCAGCCUGGACAAGAAAGAAAACUCUGUCUCAAAACAAAAACAAAAACAAAACAAAAAUUUGCCAGGUAUGGUGGCAGGCACCUGUAGUCCCAGCUACUCGGGAGGCUGAGGCAGGAUAAUUGCUUCAACCUGGGAGCUGGAGGUUGUAGUGAGCCGAGAUUGCAUCACUGCACUCCAGCCUGGGUGACAGAGCAAGACUACAUCUCAGGGGAAGGGGGAGCAGAGAAAAAGCAAGGGAAAAAAUUUUUUAAAAAGAAAAGAAAAAGGCUGGGCAUAGUGGCUCCACCUGCAAUCCCAGCACUUUGGGAGGGCAGAGUGGGAGAACUGCUUGAGGUCAGGGGUUUAAGACCAGCCUGGGGAACAUGGCAAGACACCAUCUCUAAAAAGCAGAAAUAAAAGUACAAAAAGGGGGGAAAAAAUAAAGGGCAUAGAGUCUAGGCCAACCUACUUCUGCCACUUCCCAUGUGAGCUUGGACCAGUCCCUUACUCUGUGUCUGGGAACCCGUCUUCACAUCUAUGAAUCAAGUGAGCAUCUUUUUGUACCUCAAGGAUUGUUCUGAAGAAUGAACACCUCAGGGAAGUGUUUAACAAAUGAUGGUGAAACCCACGUAUCUGAGAGCCACACUGCCUUGAUGCAUUCUGGGAUCAGAUGUGGCACUGGGGUGGUGGUAGGGCCCUGACCUCUGAAAAGAACAGAUCAAAACAGGGUGUGCCCCAAACCUGCACCAUACACUGUGCAGGGUAUCUGCUGCCCUUGCCUAAGGGGACAGAGAACCUUCGAUCCCAGAGGCCCUGGUCCAUCUCCUGAGUUCGGUCUCCAAAAUACACCAUGGACAGCCAGGCUCACCCCUUACUAAACAGCAGACCCUAGGCUGAAACCCCGCCCCUCGCUGAGUGCCCAUUCCCUUGCUGCUCCUCCCUUUCUAUCUCCCAAAGCCCCUGUUCUCACCAAGCCUCCCUCCCAUCGCUUCCCUCUCCCUAUGCCCCUCUCUUUACAGUGAACCCCCAUCUUCCCUUCAAGUUAAGGGGCCACUUCACAGGGCUGUAAUCACCUUGUCAAACUCCCAUUUCCUUCCUGGGUCUCCUUUCCCUGCCCCAGUUCCAGAGCCCUGGGGCCCACAACCCUUCACUGUCCUUCCUCCUCCUUUCAAGACCCAUCUCUUACUGAGCCCCAAUGCCUUCCACUAAGCAAUCCCCCACUGUCCCCUUCCUUCCCUGAAACCUCUUCUGGGCCGCCAACCCUCUGAGUCCUCAGCUGGACUCACAGGCCCCACUCUGAUUCCCUUCAAGCCAACUAGGCCCAGCCUGCCCUAUUUGGGCAGCCUUCCCGAGUCUCUUCUGCUUCCUCAGCAGCCACUGAACACAGGCAUUUUCUUCCUGCUGGUGAUUCUUGGGGCUGAACACAGGCUUCUCUUGGGUUGGCCUAUCCCAGCCUCACCCACUGCUUUCUCUGAAGCCACUUACCCACUCCAACCAGCCUCCACCCUACCCAGAGUGACCUUGUUAAAGGCCCCUCCCUAAACAGUGUGUACCCACCAGACCUGACUGCGUGCGACUCCUGCCUGCUCACAUCUCUGGGCCUUUGCACAGCCUCUCCCUCCUCCAGGAACUCCCUCACUUUUCUGCCUAGCUCAGGCUUGGCUCUGUGAAACUUUCUCCUUAGGGUAGCCCUCCUCCCUAACCCUUAGAGGGCCUCACUACUUCUUGCCCCCACUUCCAGCUCUAUACUGCAUGGAUGGCUUGAGUGUAGCAGUGUCUUCCCCGUCAGCCGUCAGGAAGUGCAGGACAAUGUCUUCAUCUCUGAGUCUGGGGAAUGCCAGGAGGGAGCUUGGUGGGUGGAUGAGCCUUUUACAUCCAGUACAGAGGCUACAGUUUCAGGGGACUGUGACCUGAGUCCUCCUGCCCCUUCUUCCAGACAGCUGUGUCCAGAAGGUGGGGGUGUGUAUCCCCCUUCAGACCACGGGCUCCUCUGACUCUCCUGAGGCCAGGGCCUCGAUGGCUGGGUCAGGGAGGGCAGGCCCUGUGGCACUAUCCCUUGGUGUCUCCCUGAGCUUCAUUAAGGAGGGACACAAAGCCACACUCAGUAGAACUUAAACAUAUAAUGGGUCUAUGGGAAAAACUGCUUCCCAAAGACCAGGAAGGUCAGAAUGGGCAUUAUUUGGGCAAAGGCAGCCAAAAGGCCCCAAAGUCAGGAAUCAGUAAACAGCUUAGCUCUUCUUGGCCCACCAGACACAGGCACAGUUAGGAGUUUUCUUUUUCCAAAGUUUACCAAAGCUGGGAGGAAACAAAGACCCAGCAUUUGGAGUUCAGGGUAGACAGAAAGGGGAGGGUGGACUAACACUGGGGUGACCAGCCUGGUAAUAUCCCAAGUUCUGCAUAAGCAGAUGUGGGUGCACUGGAGUAAAAUGAGGGACGUGGAGGCAGAGAAGACUCAUGACCUGGGGCAAAUGGGAGAUACACAGACGGGGGCACUGCAUUCCUAGUGGGAAAGGGAGGCCCCACGAGGGUUCUCAGACUUAGGACAGAAUGAAUGUUGCCAAGAGAGGUGUCCUUGAACCAGAGUAGAACUGUGAGGCCCAAAGGCCAGGAAGACACAGGACAAACAAAGGGACUAGAGGCAGAGACACGGGACCUUGGAUGGAAUAAGGGAGUCCAGAGCAGGAUCCCCAAGCUCUGGCCCAUGAUGGAGGCUCCCAAGGAGAGGAAACCCAGGAUUUGGGGAGACCUUGGACUUGUGAUAGAAUAUGGGGUCUCAGAGUCAGACACCCAGGUCCUAGUGCACAAUGAAGGUCCAAGAGGCAGAAUCCCUGGACCUGGGACCCAGUGCAUGAUCAAGGACCUGGAUGUCCUCGGCAGCAGAAUGGGGAGCUCAGAGGCAGGGAGACCCAGGGCCUGGGAUGAAAUGGGGAGAACCCAGAUGCAAGGGUGACCCAGAUCUCAGGCAGAAGGGAGAACUCUGUGGCCAGGAACACAUGUAGGUUAUUUCAGCUCCUCUGGAGAACCAGUAGCUGGUGACAAAACCCAGCAGUGACCCUUCUACUCCCUCCACCCUCACUCCCCCUUUCACAAGACACGAGGUUUUUUUUGUUUUUUUUUUUUUGCUUUUUUUCAUUUCUUUUUAAUACAAACUUGGAUCUUUGGGUGUGUCCUGCCAACAGAAAACAACAACAACAACAACAGAAGAGAAAACCCAAAAGAGUGAAAAAUAAGAAAGAAAAAAAAAAGCUCCCGCAAGAGGUUCUUCUCCCUCCCCCCCAC